AGCAGCCGCGGUAAUUCCAGCUCCAAUAGCGUAUAUUAAAGUUGUUGCAGUUAAAAAGCUCGUAGUUGAAUUUCGGGAUCAAUAUGUUGGUCGUGCCUUGGUACGUACUGGCAUUAUUGGUUUCUACCUUCUGAAGAACCUCGAUGUCAUUAAUUUGGUGUCUUGGGGGAAUCAGGACUGUUACUUUGAAAAAAUUAGAGUGUUUAAAGCAAGCUAACGCUUGAAUACAUUAGCAUGGAAUAAUGAAAUAGGACGUUCGAUCCUAUUUUGUUGGUUUCUAGGAUUGACGUAAUGAUUAAUAGGGAUAGUUGGGGGCAUUAGUAUUCAAUUGUCAGAGGUGAAAUUCUUUGGAUUAUUGGAAAGAUCUAACUACUGCGAAAGCAUUUGCCAAGGAUGUUUUCAUUAAUUAAGAACGAAAGA
rnacentral:rRNA from 1 species